rnacentral:rRNA from 1 species
AGACCCGAAACCCGGUGAUCUAGCCAUGGGCAGGUUGAAGGUUGGGUAACACUAACUGGAGGACCGAACCGACUAAUGUUGAAAAAUUAGCGGAUGACCUGUGGCUGGGGGUGAAAGGCCAAUCAAACCGGGAGAUAGCUGGUUCUCCCCGAAAGCUAUUUAGGUAGCGCCUCGUGAAUUCAUCUCCGGGGGUAGAGCACUGUUUCGGCUAGGGGGCCAUCCCGGCUUACCAACCCGAUGCAAACUGCGAAUACCGGAGAAUGUUAUCACGGGAGACACACGGCGGGUGCUAACGUCCGUCGUGAAGAGGGAAACAACCCAGACCGCCAGCUAAGGUCCCAAAGUCAUGGUUAAGUGGGAAACGAUGUGGGAAGGCCCAGACAGCCAGGAUGUUGGCUUAGAAGCAGCCAUCAUUUAAAGAAAGCGUAAUAGCUCACUGGUCGAGUCGGCCUGCGCGGAAGAUGUAACGGGGCUAAACCAUGCACCGAAGCUGCGGCAGCGACGCUGAUGCGUUGUUGGGUAGGGGAGCGUUCUGUAAGCCUGUGAAGGUGUGUCGUGAGGCAUGCUGGAGGUAUCAGAAGUGCGAAUGCUGACAUAAGUAACGAUAAAGCGGGUGAAAAGCCCGCUCGCCGGAAGACCAAGGGUUCCUGUCCAACGUUAAUCGGGGCAGGGUGAGUCGACCCCUAAGGCGAGGCCGAAAGGCGUAGUCGAUGGGAAACGGGUUAAUAUUCCCGUACUUGGUGUUACUGCGAAGGGGGGACGGAGAAGGCUAUGUUGGCCGGGCGACGGUUGUCCCGGUUUAAGCGUGUAGGCUGGUUUUCCAGGCAAAUCCGGAAAAUCAAGGCUGAGGCGUGA